rnacentral:rRNA from 1 species
GUGAAGCUUUGUUCUAAGAUAUUACCCAUGCUUGUUUGAAAUAGCAACGAUUUGUUGUAAUUUGCGGAUAGCUCAUUAAAAAAUCUGUAACAUACAACGUAGUGGACUUUUACACGGAUAAACCGGUAACUCCACCAAUAAUAAGUGCAUCAAACAUCAACUAUUCAAAAGGAAGAUGGCAUUUAUUAGUAUUGAACCAACUAUUAAUAAUGAAGCAAUUUGUUAUUAAGUAUAGUGAGUUCUGAUAAUUCAGUGGACCUUGUUUGUAAUAUAACAAGGCAAACGUUAUUGACAGAUUAUGUAUUAGCUUGAUAGGAGGGUAGUGGCCUCCUAUGGCAUUGAUGCUAACGGAGAUCUAGAGAUUGAUUCCGGAGAGUUGACCUGAGAGAUCGUCAACACUACUAAGGUAGGCAGCAGGGACGCAAAUUGUUCACUGACGAUACGUCGAAACAGUAACCAACUGUAAAAAUCUAUUCAGGGGUAACCCUGUGAUAGACUUUUAAUAAAAUAUUUAUUCAAACCCAUUUUGGGAAAAAGAUGGCCAUAGCUUUGCCAGCAGCAGCGGUAAUAAUGCAUCUUUGAGUUUGACAUCCAAUUAUUGCAAUUAAAACGUUCGUAGUUUGUAUUAUUAUUUCUAUUAUUAAUUUUAGGUUUUCCUAAUAUGAUUUAUUUCAUAAAAUGUUAUAAUUUUUAAUUAUAAUUAUUUGGUUAAUAACUUCUGAAAUAACUUGUAUUAUAUAGAAGUUCGCUUUUAUAUAAUAUUUUACCAUGAGAAAAAGAGAACGCUAUAAGUGGGCUCUAAUGCUUGAAUCAUUCAGCAUGGGACAAACACAACAGGCUUUCAUGUUAUGAUUAUAGCAAUAUAAUUAUAAUGUGGUAAUUUAUAUAUAAAUGGAAACAUUUAUAUUUAAAUUAUUUGAAUUUUGUUGGUAAGUUGGUUUUUCAUAUUCAAGUCAUGAUCGAUAAGGAUGGUUGAGGAGGUGUUUGGAUUCCAGAGUUAGAGGUGAAAUUUGAUGAUCUCUGAGAGGACAAACUAAAGCGAAAGCAUUCAUCAAUUACAUACUUUUUAAUCAAGAACGAAAGUCUGGGUAGCGAAGACGAUUAGAUACCGUUGUAGUCUAGACCAUAAACGAUGAUAUCUCAGGAUAUUAUUUAUAUAACUAUAAGACUAUUAUAUUAUUACUUCGGUAAUAAUUAAUCAAUGUUAUAAUUGAUCAUACAUAUUAAUAAAAUGUAAAUUUUAUUUUUAUAACUCGACAAAUAAUGCACUGUGUGGGAAACCAUAAGAUUUCUUUGUGGAGUGUAUGUUAGCAAUGAUGAAAUUUAAAAGAAUUGACGGAAGUAUUACCACCAGGAGUGGAUUAUGCGAUUCAAAUUGACUCAACGCGUGGAAUCUUACCAGGUCAGGACACCGUGAGGAAAGACAGACUGCAGCUCUUUCUUGAUUCUGUGCUUGUUAAAUGUAGUGCAUGGCCUUUGGGAAGUGAGUGGAUUGAUUUUUCUGAUUAAUUUCGAUAACUAGCGAGACCCUAACCUUGAGAUUAUGUGUAGUAAUACAUAUAAUCAUAAUUGUAAAUACAACUUGAUAAAAAUUUUUUUUACCAGAAAGUUAUAAUAGCAAUAUUAUAAUAGUUGUUCUUAGAGGGACUACAUGUGUUUUAGCAUGUGGAAGCUUAGGGCGAUAAAAGGUCCGUGAUGCUCUUAGAUGUUCUGGGCUAUACGCGUGAUACACUGAUUUAUUCAACAAGUUUUUUUGUAUUUAU